rnacentral:rRNA from 102 species
UGACCUCGGAUCAGGUAGGGAUACCCGCUGAACUUAA